GUGGGGAAUUUUGCGCAAUGGACGAAAGUCUGACGCAGCCACGCCGCGUGAGUGAAGAAGGCCUUCGGGUUGUAAAGCUCUGUCGGAAGGGACAAAAACCUCAUAGGUUAAUAGCCUAUGAGCUUGAUGGUACCUUUUAAGGAAGCACCGGCUAACUUCGUGCCAGCAGCCGCGGUAAUACGAAGGGUGCAAGCGUUGCUCGGAAUUAUUGGGCGUAAAGGGCAAGUAGGUGGUCAUAUAAGUCUGGGGUGAAAUCCCUGAGCUCAACUCAGGACGUGCCUUGGAAACUGUAUGACUAGAGUAUCGGAGAGGUUCGCGGAAUUCCCGGUGUAGCGGUGAAAUGCGUAGAGAUCGGGAGGAACAUCAGAGGCGAAAGCGGCGAACUGGACGAUAACUGACACUCAAUUGCGAAAGCGUGGGGAGCAAACAGGAUUAGAUACCCUUGUAGUCC
rnacentral:rRNA from 1 species